CUGAAAGCUAAGUCUUUGCUAUUGCAUCCGCCUUCUUCUCACGAAGACCUGCAGCUUGAAAGGAGGGGAGGGAGAAAUAGCCCUAAGCUCCAGGAAGACCAAGCCCAGCCUCUGUGAUGAUUCCGAGGAAAUUCAGGAAAUCCUUGCUAAUGGCCAAACUUCCCGGGUUUGAGAUGCAAAAGGAAAUCAGAUCGCAGGGUAAUGCUUUUACACUAAGCAAGAAAUUGCAGGAUAUAAAGCUGUGCAGACCAUUGCCUCUGAUUAAGAAAGCGAUUCUGAGAUUCCAGCCUGGAAGGAACCGGGCCCCAGUGUUAACUGUGGUUAAUUCUGGGUGGAGGGGUGAUGGGUGAUAAUUUCUCCUUUUUCUUUUCUGUACUAACCAUUAAUACUGGGGGGAUGGGCAGUUAAAAAUCAAAGGAAGAAAACAUAAAGAAAGCCAAAUCCUUUUCCAUCUGUAGCCAUUCAAGCUACUGCCUGGACACGCUCUCCUUGAAGCUGGGGCUCCUCUCUCAGCCCCACCUAACAUGGCCCACCUCCUUCCUGGGGUCACUCCGUGUUCCUCAAGCACUUCAAACUCAUCCUCUCCUGCCUCUGAGCUGAGCAUAUGGGCCUCUCCCCUUCCUUUAAAAGCUCCAUCCGUGACUGCCUUCUGGGGGUCAGCCACAUAGCUGAGUGAGGACCACAUGCUUCACACCAAAUGAUACAAGAAGCUUGUUCCAAAUCUAUGUGGGUUUUUUGACAUUUUAGAGAGCAGAUGCUUUCCCAUGCUUUCUAAUUCCCUAUUACAUCUAUACAUCUCUUUUAAAAGAUCCUGCAAGUCCUUUUAGUGUCUGGACACAGGUUAUUCCCUCCCUUUCUUUUUUCCCAAUUUCACCUGCCCCAGUCCUCCUGGUCAGUGCUUCUGUUUCCUGCACAAGGAAACAGCCUUG
rnacentral:lncRNA from 10 species